UAGAGUUUGAUCCUGGCUCAGGACGAACGCUGGCGGCGUGCCUAACACAUGCAAGUGGAGCGACGAACCAGGGCUUGCCCUGGGGCAGAGCCGCGAACGGGUGAGUAACACGUGGGUUACCUGCCUCGAUGACCGGGACAACCCGAGGAAACUCGGGCUAAUACCGGAUGUGCCCGCAAAGGGAAAGGAAGCUUCGGCCUCCGCAUCGAGAUGGGCCCGCGGCCCAUUAGCUUGUUGGUGAGGUAACGGCUCACCAAGGCUUUGAUGGGUAGCUGGUCUGAGAGGACGAUCAGCCACACUGGGACUGAGACACGGCCCAGACUCCUACGGGAGGCAGCAGUGGGGAAUCUUGCGCAAUGCGCGAAAGCGUGACGCAGCAACGCCGCGUGGGGGAAGAAGGCUUUCGGGUUGUAAAUCCCUUUCAGUUGGGACGAAGCCUCAUCGGUUAAUAGCCGCGUGGGGUGACGGUACCUUCACAAGAAGCACCGGCUAACUACGUGCCAGCAGCCGCGGUAAU
rnacentral:rRNA from 1 species